rnacentral:rRNA from 1 species
UACGAAGGGGGCUAGCGUUGCUCGGAAUCACUGGGCGUAAAGCGCACGUAGGCGGAUUGUUAAGUCAGGGGUGAAAUCCUGGAGCUCAACUCCAGAACUGCCUUUGAUACUGACGGUCUUGAGUCCGGGAGAGGUGAGUGGGACUCCGAGUGUAGAGGUGAAAUUCGUAGAUAUUCGGAAGAACACCAGUGGCGAAGGCGACUUACUGGACACAUAUUGACGCUGAGGUGCGAAAGCGUGGGGAGCAAACAGG